UGCCAGCAGCCGCGGUAAUACGGAGGGGGUUAGCGUUGUUCGGAAUUACCGGGCGUAAAGCGCGCGUAGGCGGAUUAGUAAGUUAGGGGUGAAAUCCCGGGGCUCAACCCCGGAACUGCCUCUAAUACUGCUAGUCUUGAGUCCGAGAGAGGUGAGUGGAAUUCCGAGUGUAGGGGUGAAAUCCGUAGAUAUUCGGAGGAACACCAGUGGCGAAGGCGGCUUUCUGGACCGAUACUGACGCUGAGACGCGAAAGCGUGGGGAGCAAACAGGAUUAGAUA
rnacentral:rRNA from 1 species